UCCACGCCCUAAACGAUGAAUGCUAGUCGUCGGGGAGCUAGUCUCUUCGGUGAUGCACUUAACAGAUUAAGCAUUCCGCCUGGGGAGUACGGUCGCAAGAUUAAAACUCAAAGGAAUAGACGGGGACCCGCACAAGUGGUGGAGCAUGUGGUUUAAUUCGAAAAUACGCGAAGAACCUUACCUAGCCUUGACAUUGAUUGAAUUUUCCAGAGAUGGAGAAGUGCCUUUCGGGGAACAUGAAAACAGGUGCUGCACGGCUGUCGUCAGCUCGUGUCGUGAGAUGUUGGGUUAAGUCCCG
rnacentral:rRNA from 1 species